UUUGGUGAUGGUGAUGUGUUUGUAGAUCUUACUUUACUAAACAUUCUUGCUGCUUACAAUUAUCUCUAUCUAUAACAGUACUUUCUGUGGAAAAUGUUAUCGAAAAUCUUCAAAUUUUAAGAAAAUUGUUAAAAAUUGACUAUGAAGGGCAAUAACUCCUUAGGGGGGUCAAUUGACUAUUUUGGUCAUAGUGACUUAUUUUUAGUUCUUACUUUGCUGUACAUUAUUGCUGUUUACAGUUUAUCUCUAUCUAUAAUAAUAUUCAAGAUAAUAACAAAAAAAAAAAACAGCAAAAUUUCUUCAAAAUUACCAAUUCAGGGGCAGCAACCUAACAACCGAUUAUCCGAUUCAUCUGAAAAUUCCAGGGCAGAUAGAUC
rnacentral:lncRNA from 1 species